rnacentral:rRNA from 1 species
AACGAACGCUGGCGGCAGGCUUAACACAUGCAAGUCGAACGGGUGUAGCAAUACAUCAGUGGCAGACGGGUGAGUAACACGUGGGAACCUUCCUAGGGGUACGGAACAACUCAGGGAAACUUGAGCUAAUACCGUAUACGUCCGUGAGGAGAAAGAUUUAUCGCCCUUAGACGGGCCCGCGUCGGAUUAGGUAGUUGGUGGGGUAACGGCCUACCAAGCCUACGAUCCGUAGCUGAUCUUAGAGGAUGAUCAGCAACACUGGGACUGAGACACGGCCCAGACUCCUACGGGAGGCAGCAGUGGGGAAUCUUGGACAAUGGGCGCAAGCCUGAUCCAGCCAUGCCGCGUGAGUGAAGAAGGCCUUAGGGUUGUAAAGCUCUUUUACCAGGGACGAUAAUGACGGUACCUGGAGAAUAAGCCCCGGCAAACUUCGUGCCAGCCGCCGCCGUAACAC